rnacentral:rRNA from 1 species
AUGAACGCUGGCGGCGUGCCUAAUACAUGCAAGUCGAGCGAACAGACGAGGAGCUUGCUCCUCUGACGUUAGCGGCGGACGGGUGAGUAACACGUGGAUAACCUACCUAUAAGACUGGGAUAACUUCGGGAAACCGGAGCUAAUACCGGAUAAUAUAUUGAACCGCAUGGUUCAAUAGUGAAAGACGGUUUUGCUGUCACUUAUAGAUGGAUCCGCGCCGCAUUAGCUAGUUGGUAAGGUAACGGCUUACCAAGGCAACGAUGCGUAGCCGACCUGAGAGGGUGAUCGGCCACACUGGAACUGAGACACGGUCCAGACUCCUACGGGAGGCAGCAGUAGGGAAUCUUCCGCAAUGGGCGAAAGCCUGCCGGAGCAACGCCGCGUGAGUGAUGAAGGUCUUCGGAUCGUAAAACUCUGUUAUUAGGGAAGAACAAAUGUGUAAGUAACUAUGCACGUCUUGACGGUACCGAAUCAGAAAGCCACGGCUAACUACGU